rnacentral:rRNA from 1 species
AGCAGCCACUCAUUAAAAGAGUGCGUAAUAGCUCACUGGUCGAGUGACUCUGCGCGGAAAAUAUAACGGGGCUAAGCAUACAACCGAAGCUUGGGAUUGUCUAAAGACAGUGGUAGGGGAGCGUCGUGUAUGGGGUGAAGUCGCAUCGGAAGGAGCGGUGGACUGUACACGAGUGAGAAUGCCGGAAUGAGUAGCGAGAAUUAUGUGGGAAUCAUAAUGGCCGAAAAUCUAAGGUUUCUUGGGGAAGGUUCGUCCGCCCAAGGUAAGCCGGGAGCUAAGGCGAGGCCGCAAGGCGUAGUCGAUGCACAUACGGUAAAGAUUCCGUAGCCGCCGAACUUUAAGUCAGAGGGACACUUGCAGAUAGCGGAACCCAGCCGUUGGUUGAGCUGGGCGAAAGGGACUGAAAUUAGUAGGGAAGUCCGCGAUGCUGAAAGGCGAGAAAAGCUCUGAUGGAUACUAAGGCGCCCGUACCGCAAACCGACACAGGUAGAUGAGGAGAGAAUCCUAAGGCCAACGGGAGAAGGGUUGUUAAGGAACUCGGCAAAUUGACCCCGUAACUUCGGAAGAAGGGGAGCCCCGAAAGGGGCCGCAGUGAAUAGGCCCAAGCAACUGUUUACCAAAAACACAGGUUUAUGCUAAAUCGAAAGAUGACGUAUAUGAGCUGACGCCUGCCCGGUGCCGGAAGGUUAAGAGGAGAGCUUAGAGGCAACUCGAAGGUUUGAAUUGAAGCCCCGGUAAACGGCGGCCGUAACUAUAACGGUCCUAAGGUAGCGAAAUUCCUUGUCAGGUAAGUUCUGACCCGCACGAAUGGCGUAAUGAUUUGGGCACUGUCUCAACAGCCCGCCCGGCGAAAUUGUAGUACUGGUGAAGAUGCCAGUUACCCGCAACUAGACGGAAAGACCCCAUGGAGCUUUACUGCAGUUUAAUACUGGGAAUCGGUAAUGCAUGUACAGGAUAGGUGGGAGACUAGGAAGCAUGGUCGUCAGGUCAUGUGGAGUCACCGGUGGGAUACCACUCUUGUAUUGCUGAUUUCCUAACCUGCGGCCGUGAAUCCGGUCGGGGGACACUGUUAGACGGGCAGUUUGACUGGGGCGGUCGCCUCCAAAAGAGUAACGGAGGCGCUCAAAGG